rnacentral:rRNA from 1 species
GGAAUUUUCCCCAAUGGGCGCAAGCCUGAGGGAGCAACGCCGCGUGCAGGACGACGGCCUUCGGGUUGUAAACUGCUUUUGCGUGGGACGAUAACGACGGUACCACGCGAAUCAGCCCCGGCUAACUCUGUGCCAGCAGCCGCGGUAAUACGGAGGAUGCAAGCGUUAUCCGGAAUGAUUGGGCGUAAAGCGUCCGCAGGUGGUUAUGCAAGUCUGCUGUUAAAGAGUGGAGCUUAACUCCAUAAAGGCGGUGGAAACUGCGUGACUAGAGUGCGUUCGGGGCAGAGGGAAUUCCUGGUGUAGCGGUGAAAUGCGUAGAUAUCAGGAAGAACACCGGUGGCGAAAGCGCUCUGCUAGGCCGUAACUGACACUGAGGGACGAAAGCUAAGGGAGCGAAUGGGAUUAGAUACCCCCGUAGUCC